UCCUUCAUGAGUCGGCAUUGAACUGGUUUAGUCAGUACUCACAGAAAUGGCACAAGAAGAAUACAAGGUGCUUGGUGAUAAACUCUUCACAUACAAAAAAAUGGUUUUACCUUUGAAGGGCAUUCAUAUCAAUACAGUAGAAUAUGUGGACAGUUUGAGGGAUUUUGAAAUAAGGGAUGAGGACGUCUUUCUCAUUACCUUCCCGAAAUCUGGAACAAUAUGGAGCCAGAGAAUCAUGACUUUAUUGUAUGAGAAUGAUUUGUCGGGAAAAGAAGGCGAAACCACGUACGAGCAGAUGCCCUGGUUGGAGCUUCUCCAAAAGGGGAAAGAUUACAACGCACGUCCAUCCCCGAGACUCUUCUCCUCCCAUUUACAAGAGCACUUGGUGCCUAAUGGACUGCAACACAAAGGAAAAAUCAUCUACGUUAUGAGAAACCCAAAGGAUGUCAUGGUGUCCUAUUUUCAUUUUUCCAAAAACAUGAAGACCCUGGAUUCUUCCAAGAACUUAGACGAGAUGCUGGAAAAGUUUUUCACUGGAUGGACGGUCGGUGGAUGUUGGUUUGAUCACAUCAAAGGAUGGAUCUCAAAUAAAGACAAAUACAACAUUCUGAUCCUGACUUACGAAGAGAUGAUCAAGGACCUCAGAUCCGUCGUUGUGAAAAUCUGUGAGUUUGUGGGGAAGAAUCUGUCAGACGCAGCGAUUGAUAAAGUUUUGGAAAAGGCCACUUUCAGCAACAUGAAGAAAGACCCCAAAGCCAACUAUGAAUUCUUUCCUGAGGAGGUCACAGACCGUCCAAAAGGACUAUUUGUGCGCAAAGGAAUAGUUGGAGAUUGGAAGAACACAUUGACUGUAUCUCAGAAUGAAGGAUUUGACCGCGUCUGCAAGGGAAAAUUGGAGGGCCUUCCACUUAAUUUCAUCUGGGACAUCAAGGAGUUACACAAUAAUGAAUAAUAAUGCAUUUACAGGGCAGAGAGUCUGCAGAAGGGGAAAGAUUACAGCGAGACUCUUCUCCUCCUGUUUACACGGGCACAGACGACUGCAAGAGAAAGGAAAAUGCUUGAUGGAUGUUGGUUCCACCACAUCAUAGGAUGUAUCUCAUACAAAGACAAAUACAUCUUGUUCCUGACUUACAAAGAGAUGAUCAAGUCCUCUGUGCCUGUGUAAAGGAGGAGAAGAGUCUCGCUGUGAUCUUUUCCCUUCUGCAGACUCUCUGCCCUGUACUGUAGAUAAACAUGUAAAUAGUUCUGUUCUUUUUUCUGUUCUUUUUUCAUAUACUAAAAAAUAUAUUUUUUUUGUUACCUUUAUAUAUGUGUUUGAAUAAACUUUAUAAACUAACAUGCGAUAUCAUUGUGCGAUAUCAUUCUCAUCAUUGUUUUAUACUUCAUAGUUUUAUUGCUUACUGUUGACUACAGCAGGAGUCAUUUUGCACUUAAAAAAAAAGACUUUGUAUGUUAUAAACUUACCAGACAUCAGCAAGGUAAUGACAAAUCAACAACAGUAUGUCUUAAGAGGUUUGUAAAGACCUUACAUAAUGAAGCGUUAUGUUUUUAUCGUCUUAGAAUGAGCUUUUUCUAUCUACAUACACUACUGUCCCCUCACAUGGAAUUCGUCAUGCUCAUUUCUUUUGGACUUCAGUGUUUGGAGACGUGAAUUGACGUAAAGCUUGGCGAACAGUGGAUACUUUUUUAUUGAUAAUAAAGUAAAAGAAGUGUCCAUUAAAAUAGUGCAUUGGAUAUAUACAGCUAAACAUGUGCUGGAAAGUUUUAAACUGAAUAUUCACUACUCUUGUUGUUUUUUUCAUAUUGAAUAAGAAACCAUAUAGUUUUCCAUGGCAUUCACACAAAAUGUUUUGGGUUAAUGUGGAACGUUUUUUUAUGAAGAGUUAAACAUUGCUUUACAGCUGACGGGAUUUGACAUAUUGCUGUACUUUAAUGAUCAAGGUUUGGAUAAAGAUGAAAUAUAUCUUAAACAAUCGUUAAUUUUACAGGGAAAUUUUAACAUUCCUGAAAUGAAAUGAUUGUUUAUUUUAAUAUUUCACAAAAUUGUACAACUAAAAGCAAUCAGAGCUUUUAAAAUUACGAACAAAUAUGCUAUUGUUGAUUAACCCUAUACUUUUAUUAUUUAUUUUAUUUUUCUCUCUCUUUUUUGCUCCAAGUAAUCAGACUCCGGCUUAUAUAAUGUGAAUGUUUCUCUUUGUAUUCACGAUAUGGCAUUAAUAAAAGCAACAACGACAUCAAAAAUACAUUCAUUGGCUUCUGUUCUUCCUAAAUUCGCAGCUGUUUAGCAGUAAUUUCUGACACGACAACAGUUUGCAUCAUGUUUAUAAGACAUGUUUCUGAACUGGAUUAAAGGUAUAUUUCAUGAGGUAAGUUAGGUUAAGAUAUUUGUUUUUACAGCCAAGCUAUAGUUUACGUCACACAGAACGUGAGCUUUCUGUUCACAAUGCAGGUUACAUUACGAUGGACAAUUGGUUGUGUGCUGUAUUCAUCCAAAACUACUGAAAAUGACAAAAAGAGAAAUGUUUGUGACAACGCAGGACAUUAUAUGACAACAAUAUAUAUUUGAAGAUGUAAGUGUUAAAACCAUUCCAAAAAACGUACAUAAAAUCUGAUCUGAUCAUCCGGGCUUGAAAAGUUUAUGCAAUGAAUGUCAAGGGAAGACAUCUUUAAUUCACAAUGUGUUGUUUGUUUCUUGAGUGUAUGCUUGUUUUCUGUCCACGUCACAGUUUUUAUAAUGCAGUCACUAACAUUAGAUGAUUUACACUGUGAAGAUAAACCUCAGUAGAAUUGUGGUCCGUGAAAAGGAGUUCCUGGAAAGGCUGGACAAAGUGCUGAAAGUCAACUGGCUUUAUGUCAAUAACACAUCCUCCUACAUCAAUAUACAUAAUCAAAAGAAAAAAAAUCAAACAAUGUUGUUAGACACAGUAUACAUUGGACAUUUUCCAGAUAAUACAAGAACACAAUCUAUCAUGUAUUUCUAUUAUUAGAGCAGAUAUUUCUAAAACCUUUCUUGUAUUAAGUGUUUGUGCCAAGUGACUCAAAGCUUGAAAUGUAAGUAAAAAUAAAAAGCUAAAAGGGGGUGUCAUAGAUAUUUUCUUAGCUUUAUACAGGUGAAAUUUCACAAGAAGUAUAAUUUAUUUCAGUGUUUUGUCGAGAAGAGCCAGUGUUAAAGUCCAAGACAAUAAUCAUAGGAUUAUCUUUGACAAUGAACUUAUGAAAUCAAAAAUCAGCAUAAACACUUUCAAAAAUCUUGUGAAAACUACCGCUGCAGAAGAAAUGUGUAAGUGUUUCUGGUUUAAGUUUAAAAUUAACUUAAUGGUCAGACGUCCUUAUUAAACUUAUUAAUGAAAGCAUUACAUGGAUAAUAUCUGUGCAAUGUCUUAAAAUUUAUUUCCUUUACCUUAUUGGGCAAUACGAAACUAUUACAUUCUCACCAUAUUUUCUCAAUAAAAGAGAUGUGAAAAAAUGGGCUUCCGUUUCACAAGUGCAUUUGGACAGAAACAAACAUUUUGGAUGAGACACUUUCUAAUAGGAAAAUUGUUACAUUUUCUAUCUAUAAUAUGUUCACCUCCAAUAACAAUAUUUGCGAUCUCUUUGCCAAUCGCGUCAUAAAGAUGUGUUUUUAACAAGAUGAAGCAAUCUUAUACUCUCCGUUUAGCUAUCCAUCACCAUUCCACACUCCAGCCCAGUAUGUGAAGGGAAUGCACCAAAUAUCUGUUUGCAAACCACCAUAAAUCUCUAAAAGAAGAAGCCGCUGUUAUCGCGAUAUCUUGUUGUGAAGAAAAGGCGGAUACGUUGAGAGGCAGGUUACCCAGGCAACAACCGCACGAACUGUAAACAUUCAUCAGCUUCUGUUCUUGUUCAAUUUGAAGCAGGUUAGCAGAUAUUUCCAGACACAACUUUUAAGGUCACAGAUUUAUCAUGCAGACACCAGAUUAUUUGGAGAUAGACCUCAGUAGAUUGGUGAUCCACAACGAGAAGUUCCUGAAUAUUCUGGAAGAAGUGAUGAAACUCAACUGGCUUCAUGAAAGAAUCCAGCCGGAGAAGUCAGAAUUGAUGGCAAGAACUCUUAGUUCCCUUGCCUCUCGUGCUGUGGAGAACAAUCAUUUCAUCGAUCUUCAAGUCCUCCUAGAACAUGUGGAUGUCAAUUCUGAAGACUAUAUGGGAUAUACACCUCUCCAUACAGCCUGUCUGUUGGGAAAUGGAGAAAUGGUUAUGUUCCUACUGGACAAUGGUGCAGUGAACCGCUCUAAACAUUGCCCAUUACACUUGGCCAUUAAGAACAGGAAUUUUCUAGUUAUCGAGCUCCUGAGGUGGAAAGGGUUCACUGUUAAACUACACCCAGUGAGAAUUGGCGUGGAAUUGAUCCAAACAGUACGAAAGAGAGAUCAUGCGCUACUGCAUGCCUGGUUUCUCUCAGGGGUGGACAUGGACACCUCUGACUACAAUGGGUGGACAGCAAUGAAGGAGGCUGUUCGCUUGGGGGAAAACACCAUGAUAACCAAGCUAGUGCACUUACAGAAGCACGCCACUGGUAUAAAAACUUUCUUAUUGAACAAUAUUAGAAGUGGACAUUAUAAAAUGAUCUUCAUGCUAUUUUCUAUAGUACAAAUAAAAAAGCUGUUCAAUCUUUUUUCUCUGAUAAUUACAACUGUAUUCUUUUCUUAUGUGAUAAUUACUGCAGAGCCUCGGCAGUUUGUUAUGUAUAUGUUACUUUGUGCAAAAUAUUUAUAUUUUAAAACUGUUUGUGUUCAAUUAAAGAAAGAAAGUUCUAAGGAUGUGUAAAUGAGGAAAGACAUUUUGUUUCAUUUUGUUGUGAACUUUUUCUUAACUCAUGCACACUUUUCCUUUCUCUUGCAGUCGUCUGUGCCCGUGUACAGGAGGAGAAGAGUCUCGCUUUAAUCUUUCCCCUUCUGCAGACUCUCUGCCCUGUACUGUAGAUAAACUUGUAAAUAGUUCUGUUCUUUUUCUUUUUGUGUUCUUUUGUCAAUAAGAUUGGUGUUUUAUCUGCGUUAUAAAUGUGUUUGAAUAAACUUUAUAAACUAA